UACGUAGGGUGCGAGCGUUAAUCGGAAUUACUGGGCGUAAAGUGUGCGCAGGCGGCCGCGCAAGUCGAGUGUGAAAUCCCCGGGCUUAACUUGGGAAUUGCGCUCGAAACUACGUGGCUGGAGUGUGGCAGAGGAAGGUGGAAUUCCACGUGUAGCGGUGAAAUGCGUAGAGAUGUGGAGGAACACCGAUGGCGAAGGCAGCCUUCUGGGCCAACACUGACGCUCAUGCACGAAAGCUAGGGGAGCAAACAGG
rnacentral:rRNA from 1 species